rnacentral:rRNA from 1 species
GAUGAACGCUGGCGGCGUGCCUAAUACAUGCAAGUCGAGCGAACAGACGAGGAGCUUGCUCCUCUGACGUUAGCGGCGGACGGGUGAGUAACACGUGGAUAACCUACCUAUAAGACUGGGAUAACUUCGGGAAACCGGAGCUAAUACCGGAUAAUAUAUUCAACCGCAUGGUUCAAUAGCGAAAGACGGUUUUGCUGUCACUUAUAGAUGGCUCCGCGCCGCAUUAGCUAGUUGGUAAGGUAACGGCUUACCAAGGCGGCGAUGCGUAGCCGACCGGAGAAGGUGAUCGGCCACACUGGAACUGAGACACGGUCCAGACUCCUACGGGAGGCAGCAGUAGGGAAUCUUCCGCAAUGGGCGAAAGCCUGACGGAGCAACGCCGCGUGGGUGAUGAAGGGCUGCGGAUCGUAAAACUCUGUUAUUAGGGAAGAACAAAUGUGUAAGUAACUAUGCACGUCUUGACGGUACCUAAUCAGAAAGCCACGGCUAACUACGUG